rnacentral:piRNA from 1 species
UGAGUCAGAGGUUCUGCAGAUAUAUAAGAU